rnacentral:sRNA from 1 species
GCCAGGCGUGGUGGCACAUGCCUGUAAUCCCAGCAGCCUGGGAGGCUGAGGCAGGAGGAUCGCGAGUUCAAAGCCAGCCUCAGCAACUUAGCAAGGCCAUUAAGCAACUCAGUGAGACCCUGCCUCUG